GGCGAACGGGUGAGUAACACGUGGGUGAUCUGCCUCGUACUUCGGGAUAAGCCUGGGAAACUGGGUCUAAUACCGGAUAUGACCUUGGACUGCAUGGUCUUUGGUGGAAAGAUUUAUCGGUACGAGAUGGGCCCGCGGCCUAUCAGCUUGUUGGUGGGGUAACGGCCUACCAAGGCGACGACGGGUAGCCGGCCUGAGAGGGCGACCGGCCACACUGGGACUGAGACACGGCCCAGACUCCUACGGGAGGCAGCAGUGGGGAAUAUUGCACAAUGGGCGAAAGCCUGAUGCAGCGACGCCGCGUGAGGGAUGACGGCCUUCGGGUUGUAAACCUCUUUCGACAGGGACGAAGCGCAAGUGACGGUACCUGUAAAAGAAGCACCGGCCAACUACGUGCCAGCAGCCGCGGUAAAUACGUAGGGUGCGAGCGUUGUCCGAAAUUACUGGGCGUAAAGAGCUUGUAGGCGGUUCCUCCCGUCCUUCGUGAAACUUGGGGCUCA
rnacentral:rRNA from 1 species